rnacentral:tRNA from 1 species
CCCUGGCUGGCUCAGUUGGUAGAGCAUAUGACUCUUGAUCUUAGGGUUGUGAGUUCAAGCCCCACAUUGGGCA